GACGAACGCUGGCGGCGUGCUUAACACAUGCAAGUCGAACGGAAAGGCCCUGCUUUUGUGGGGUGCUCGAGUGGCGAACGGGUGAGUAACACGUGAGUAACCUGCCCUUGACUUUGGGAUAACUUCAGGAAACUGGGGCUAAUACCGGAUAGGAGCUCCUGCUGCAGGGUGGGGGUUGGAAAGUUUCGGCGGUUGGGGAUGGACUCGCGGCUUAUCAGCUUGUUGGUGGGGUAGUGGCUUACCAAGGCUUUGACGGGUAGCCGGCCUGAGAGGGUGACCGGCCACAUUGGGCCUGAGAUACGGCCCAGACUCCUACGGGAGGCAGCAGUGGGGAAUAUUGCCCAAUGGGCGGACGCCUGAUGCAGCAACGCCGCGUGCGGGAUGACGGCCUUCGGGUUGUAAACCGCUUUCGCCUGUGACGAAGCGUGAGUGACGGUACUGGGUAAAGAAGCACCGGCUAACUACGUG
rnacentral:rRNA from 1 species